rnacentral:rRNA from 1 species
UUGUCUUUAGUUGCUACGCAAGAGCACUCUAAAGAGACUGCCGGUGACAAACCGGAGGAAGGUGGGGAUGACGUCAAGUCCUCAUGGCCCUUAUGGGUAGGGCUUCACACGUCAUACAAUGGUGCAUACAGAGGGUUGCCAACCCGCGAGGGGGAGCUAAUCUCAGAAAAUGCAUCGUAGUCCGAAUCGUAGUCUGCAACUCGACUACGUGAAGCUGGAAUCGCUAGUAAUCGCGGAUCAGAAUGUCGCGGUGAAUACGUUCCCGGGUCUUGUACACACCGCCCGUCAUACCAUGGGAGUGGGUUUUGCCAGAAGCUGUUAGCCUAACCGCAAGGGGGGCGACUGCCACGGCAGGGUUCAUGACUGGGGUAAAGUCGUAACAAGGUAGCCGUAUCGGAAGGUGCGGCUGGAUCACCUCCUUU